AGAAAACAAUGAGCUCAACACAGAAGGACCAACAUGGAGCGAGAAGUCAGCGCUCUCAGAAGGCUGACAAACCUGACAGAAGAAAGAGAGAGAAAACAUACACCUGUGACGAGUGUGGGAAGGAUUUUACUGUGAAGAAUUCACUAAAACAGCAUCAGGUCAUCCACACUGGAGAGAGACCGUUCAGCUGUGACUUGUGUAGAAAGUCUUUUUCCCGGAAGCGUUCCCUAAAACAACACCAACUCAUCCACAGUGGAGUUAAAGCGUACAGCUGUGAUCAGUGUGGCAGAGCUUUUACUCGGAGUAGCCACUUGCAGAGUCAUCUAGUUACCCACUCUGGAAUUAAGGCAUACAGCUGUGACAUUUGUGGAAAAACUUUCAGCCACAGAUGGUACCGAAAUAUACACCUACGCAUUCACACCAGACAUGAUGUGUACUGCUGUGAACAGUGUGGCAAAUACUUUGCUAUAGACGCACAGUUACAACAACACGUUUACCCACACUGAGGGACGACCUUAUAAAUGUGACCUGUGUGAGAAGACUUUUAAAUCUCCACGUUACCUGAGAAAACACCAACAGAUCCACACCAGAAAGACUCUACAAGUGCAGUUACUGUGAGAAGCAGAGCGACACAGAUGGAUCCAGUUCUCAUUCCUGUCAUCACUGUGGUGGUGGGAAAGACUUUCAUUGUGACCUCUGUGGAAAAACUUUCAGUCAGCAAAAGAACCUAAAAAUACAUCAACGUAGACACACUGGAGACAAACUGAAAUACUGCAAAGAAUGUGGGAGAAGCUUCACCACAUCAAGUGACUUAAAACAACAUGAACUGAUUCACAGUGGGGUUAAAAAGCA